rnacentral:rRNA from 1 species
CUCGUAGGUGGUUUGUCGCGUUUGUUCGUGAAAACUCACAGCUUAACUGUGGGCGUGCGGGCGAUACGGGCAGACUAGAGUACUGCAGGGGAGACUGGAAUUCCUGGUGUAGCGGUGGAAUGCGCAGAUAUCAGGAGGAACACCGGUGGCGAAGGCGGGUCUCUGGGCAGUAACUGACGCUGAGGAGCGAAAGCGUGGGGAGCGAACA